rnacentral:rRNA from 1 species
AUUGAACGCUGGCGGCAUGCUUUACACAUGCAAGUCGAACGGUAACAGGUUAAGCUGACGAGUGGCGAACGGGUGAGUAAUGCAUCGGAACGUGCCCGACCGUGGGGGACAACGCAGCGAAAGCUGCGCUAAUACCGCAUACGAUCUGAGGAUGAAAGCGGGGGACCGUAAGGCCUCGCGCGAUCGGAGCGGCCGAUGGCAGAUUAGGUAGUUGGUGGGGUAAAGGCCCACCAAGCCGACGAUCUGUAGCUGGUCUGAGAGGACGACCAGCCACACUGGGACUGGGACCCGGCCAAGACUCCUACGGGAGGCAGCAGUGGGGAAUUUUGGACAAGGGGCGAAAGCCUGAUCCAGCAAUGCCGCGUGCAGGAAGAAGGCCUUCGGGUUGUAAACUGCUUUUGUACGGAGCGAAAAGGUCCUUUCUAAUACAAGGGGCUCAUGACGGUACCGUAAGAAUAAGCACCGGCUAACUACGUGCCAGCCGCCGCCGUAA